rnacentral:lncRNA from 1 species
CCCGGGUUCGAUCCUCAGCACCACAUACAAACAAAGAUGUUGUGUCCACCGAAAACUACAAAAUAAAUAAAUAAAUAAAUAAAAACACAACAGGAACUGGGGACUUGACAGGAAGCAGAGACUUUAUGAGAACAAGAAGUAGAGAUAUAACAGGAAAAUGAAGGCCUUACAGACACAGGAAGUAAAGGCUUAAUGAAGACUCAACAGGAAGUGAGGAUUCAUGGAUCAGGAAGUAGUGGUUUUCCUGAAAGUGAAGGCUUUAUGGGAACAGAAAGUGAGAGAUUGAUAGGGAGCAGAAGCUUCAUGAGGACAGGAAGUAGAGACAUAGCAGGAUGAUGGAAGCUUUAUAGAAACAGGAAUUGGAAAUUUGACAGGAAGUGGAGGUUUUAUGGAGACAGGAAAUAGAGACUAGAUAGGCAGUGGAUGCUUUAAGGGGACAGGAAAUGGUGGCCUGCCAGGAUUGCAGGCUGUGUGGACAGGAAGUAGAGACAUUUCAAGAAGUGAAAUUUUUAUGGGAACAGGAAAUGGGGCUUAAUAGGAAAGGGAAGUUUUGUAGGGAUAGGGAACAAAGUCUUGAUAGGAAGGACAGGAAGUAGAGGGUUUGUGGUAACAGGAAGUGGAGACAUUAUGGGGACACGAAGUGACAGUAAGUGGAGGGUUUUUAGGGAUAAGAGUGAAAAGAUUGUGGGAACAAGAAGUGGGGGCUUUUUCCACAUAGGAAUUGAAGGAUUCACAGUAAGUAGAAGCUUUGUGAGGUCAAGAAGUAGAGAUAUAACAGGAAGAGGA